rnacentral:rRNA from 1 species
UGUAAGCGUAUACCAAAGUUGUUGCAGUUAAAACGCUCGUAGUCGGAAUUUGGCAGUUCCGGAAGUGUGCACGUCGUGUGCGCACUUUGCGGGGACUGCUUUUGUGGUCUUGCGUAGGAUGAGGCACUUUCAUUAGUGAACGUCCUCACGCAACCACUCUUUACUGUGAGAAAAUCAGAGUGCUCAAAGCAGGCAUUUGCCGUGAAUGUAUUAGCAUGGGAUAAUAGAAUAGGACUCGGUUCUAUUUUGUUGGUUUGUUGGGACUGAGUAAUGAUUAAGAGGGACAGUUGGGGGCAUUUGUAUUCCGGCGCUAGAGGUGAAAUUCUUAGAUUGCCGGAAGACAAACUGCUGCGAAAGCGUCUGCCAAGGAUGUUUUCAUUGA